CGUUUGGAAUACUUGGAGCCCUGUUCGGUUUUGCAGUUUUAGUCCUGCCAGUGAUGCAUGUUGUCAGUAAAAGAUUGACGAAGGAUAGAGCUUACAUAGCAAUAAGCAUAGUAAACUUCGUCACGGCGUUAUGCAUCCUGAUCUCCGUGAGCGUCUUUGCGGGUAAUCUUGAACGCUUCUUCGACAAAUCGUGGUCAUUUGCAAUGUGUGUCGUUGGCCUGGUACUCCACGGAGUCGGAGGAAUCCUAAUGGCUGUCGCAAGAUAUAUCAUGCCAACUUCGAACGUCGCCGCCACCGCUACCAAUACCACUAUCAACAACAGCAACAUGGCCUGAACGCACCAAGGCACCACUACCUGAAAUUAUCAACGAUCGUUAACAAGAAGACACGGUAUGGAACCAGCCAUAGAUACGCCUGAACUUGGUUCAAUUUCGCUGGAUAAAUUUUCCGGUAGAAAUCGCGAUUCACGUGACUGUCUAGAUUCGGCAACAAUUAUCAGAUAUGUGAUGUUCAAGAUGGCCUCCCCUCAUUUUGUCUUGUUGGAGCGGAUACAUGGUGUGGUUCAACGGUUUACCAGACGCCACAGAAACAAAUGAAGAAAGACUAAACGAAGCUUGCAAAACUAGAUUAUCACAAAAGUACAUAUUCAUAUGACAUUUCAGUAUUUGAAAUAUUCCCAAACCCAAACAAAAGUAUUAUAUAGUAUAUCACUAUGUUUGAAAGAGUAGCAAAGAACUGAAAUCAAAGGGAAAUGCUUAACCAGGUUAGCUUUAACAACGGCGGAAACGCAAAGUUUAAUGUGAUCUUAUUUAAUAUUCAUGACCAUUUCUUCCUGUUAGAAAUUGCAGAUUUUUGUAAAUAUUGCUUGUUCUUAUCUAUUUUUUUCUCUUUCUUUCUUUGACGUUUCUCAGAUUUCAGAAGAUAGAAAUUAGUUUGGAUUGGAUAGAAAGUCUACUGUAACCAUAUCAAUUAUGUUGUCUUACGCAUACUAUAUACAUAUAUAUAUAUAUAUUAACUAUUCUGAUUUCAAAUGUUAUUUUUGUAUCCUGAAGUCAUUAUGAUUUCCCUCCCGAAAAACAAGUAAGAAUAUCUGUUUGUGAAAUAUCUUGAGAAUAAUUCGGAGUUUUAUUUUGCCCAAAGGAGACUCUGUUGAUUAACAAUUAUACCAAUCAUGAAAUUAAUCGAUAGUCUUCGAUGUAAACACGGCAACAUGAGAUGGGUAGGUUAUAUAUGCAGUAAUCAUACCUAUAUAGGCAAUGUGUAUCCUUACUAUUAAUUAAGAUAAUGCAAAAAUAUGCAGUAAAUCGACCAACACUUUUUUCAGAAAAUGCUGCCAAAUAUAUCGGUAUGAAUCCUACGACGAUAUAUUAAAUCCCCAUACGUUGUUUUAUUCAAACAUUUUGACGUUCUCGUAGCCCGAGUUUCCAUUGACCUUGACACCAUACAGGACAUGGUGGCAUAGCCAGAGGAAAUUCGGGCUGACAUUUUCGGCGAAGUUAAGAUGCGAGAUUACGACGGGUUUAUCAUUCAGCAGUAAAUCAUCUUGUUCUUCGUAUCUGUUUUAAUUUUUUUAAGGAUAUAACAGUCAAUUUACUGCUAAUUUUUUUUUGUACAUGUAUGUAUGUUUAUCUACAAAAGUUUUUCUAUGUGUGUUUUCAUGUUAUUAUACUAAAAAAAAAAAUUUUUUUUUUAAACAAAUAUUUAACUAAUGAUUAUAUAAUGAAAGCAUGGGAUCUUUGUACUCAAAAUUAAAAUCAUAUCUUAUAAUCGUAUAACGAAUAUCAAAAUAUCAGAUUUGAAAACCAUUUAUAUUACAUCGUUUCAUAUAGAACUUCAUUAAUAAAACGUUCUUGUCAUUCGAAGACUGAUUAACAGUUUUUUGUCAAAUAUAAGUCAUGUUCUACCACAUCAACUGUUGAUGUGAUGAUGAAUGACACUGUAUCAUUUAUGACUUUGUAAUUUUCGUAAUCUGCUGUAUUAUUUUCUAAACUGUAUAAAUUCGCCAAUAAAC